rnacentral:rRNA from 1 species
AUACGGAGGGUCCAAGCGUUAUCCGGAAUCAUUGGGUUUAAAGGGUUCGUAGGCGGGUCAAUAAGUCAGAGGUGAAAUCUUGCAGCUUAACUGUAAAAUUGCCUUUGAUACUGUUGACCUUGAAUUACUGUGAAGUGGUUAGAAUAUGUAGUGUAGCGGUGAAAUGCUUAGAGAUUACAUAGAAUACCGAUUGCGAAGGCAGAUCACUAACAGUAUAUUGACGCUGAUGAACGAAAGCGUGGGUAGCGAACGGGAUUAGAUACCCCAGUAGUCC